GUCUCUUCUUUAACAUCCUUUAACCUAGCCCUCACCUGCAUUUGUUCUUGACCCCGUUUUCUUCCUUGAGCUUUUGUGCGGAUAAUGAAUGUUUGGUUUUUUCUUUCUCCCAUUUCCGUUUGCUUAACACUUCAUCCAUCUUGUUAAUAAAUUUGGUAGGUGAUGCCACCAGUCCAAAACCUGUUUUUCAGGGGAUCUGAGAAAAGGACGGAUUACACAUGUCUUAAAUAUUCUGCAGAUGAAACUUGGCUAUGAUUUCUAACGCUAGCCAAAUUUGGCUUUUGAUUCUGUAUCCGUCUGCCCCAACUUCCCUAAAUAUCCACCCCUAUCCGAUCAAAAUACCAACCCUUGGAUCAGUUUAAUUCCAGGGCCUCUAUUUAGAUCCGUGAAUUUCUCAAAACCGAAAGAGACCAAGUAUUCUCCCACUUCGUGUUUAUCAAUACUGAAACUUCCUAACUUCCCUCACUUCUGAGUUUCUUUUUAUCUGAUUCAACCUCUAAACUUAAUCAACUAUCACAUAAAUAUCUUAAAAUUUCUUUAGAACCCCAAUUUUUUCCGAAACUGAAAACAAUUCCAUUUCCGAUUCAUAAAAGAAGAUUUAGCCUGAAAGGGUGUAAGUGGUGGUGGAUUGAUGGCAAAGACGACCGUGGAGAAGAUUUCAUCAUUAGAAGAAGAAAAUCAUCACCUUUAUGGUUGCCAUAUUUCUAGACUAGAAAUAGGUGAAAAACCCAGAGCAGCAGAGGAGGAUUCUAAAAGAGGUUUUGAACUAGAAAGUAAUUCAUCAGAGGAGCAAGGCCGUUAGGGGAGUAAAUGAGAGACCUCUACUGUCACAAGAGAUGGAGUUUGGAUUUGUUCCUCUGGCUCGGAUUUCUCCGCUUAUUUCGUGGCAAACAGCAGCGGAGCUUGGAUCUUUGAAAGGUCGUCAUCCUUUACUAGAAGGCAGUUGCACUUGGAUUUGUUGACUUUCGUAAACCACCAAAUGAUGAAAAUUAUGAAGUUCUUGUCAAUGAAAUUAUAGAUAGAAAUAUGAACUAUGUACUGGAGAUAUUGAUACCGGUGAGACGAUUGAAUGGCCAAAGUAAUAUGUAACUCGUGCAAUUGGAUGUUAAAUCACGUUGUUUUUCUUAUUCUUUGGUGUUUUGAACAUGAAGUAGCAUUUGUUGUUGAAUUUAAAAAUGUCUGGGUUGUUAAGUUGUUAACAUAAUUCAAAUUAAUUUUAAUGGAAUGGGUUGCACUUGCUCACGAAA